AUUGAACGCUGGCGGCAGGCCUAACACAUGCAAGUCGAACGAGUGGCGGACGGGUGAGUAAUGUCUGGGAAACUGCCUGAUGGAGGGGGAUAACUACUGGAAACGGUAGCUAAUACCGCAUACCAUCGGAUGUGCCCAGAUGGGAUUAGCUUGUUGGUGGGGUAACGGCUCACCAAGGCGACGAUCCCUAGCUGGUCUGAGAGGAUGACCAGCCAAACGGGAACUGAGACACGGGCAAGAAUCCUACGGGAGGCAGCAGUGGGGAAUAUUGCAAAAUGUGCGCAAGCCUGAGGCAGCCAUGCCGCGGGGAUGAAGAAGGCCUUCGGGUUGUAAAGUACUUUCAGCGGGGAGGCGUUACCCGCAGAAGAAGCACCGGCUAACUCCGUGCCAGCAGCCGCGGUAAUUC
rnacentral:rRNA from 1 species